rnacentral:rRNA from 1 species
CCUACGGGUGGCUGCAGUGGGGGAUAUUGCACAAUGGGGGGAACCCUGAUGCAGCGACGCCGCGUGAGCGAAGAAGUACCUCGGUAUGUAAAGCUCUAUCAGCAGGGAAGAAAAUGACGCUACCUGACUAAGAAGCCCCGGCUAAAUACGUGCCAGCGGCCGCGGUAAGACGUAUGGGGCAAGCGUUAUCCGGAUUUACGGGGUGUAAAGGGAGCGCAGGCGGUCUGCAAAGUCUGGUGCGAAAACCCGGGGCCAACCUCCGGGCCUGCAUUGGAAACUGGCGGGCUGGAGUGUCGGAGGGGCAGGCGGAAUUCCUGGUGUAGCGGUGAAAUGCGUAGAUAUUAGGAGGAACACCGAUGGCGAAGGCAGCCUGCUGGACGGUGACUGACGCUGAGGCUCGAAAGCGUGGGGAGCAAACAGGAUUAGAUACCCCUGUAGUC